GAUGAACGCUAGCGAUAGGCCUAACACAUGCAAGUCGAGGGGCAUCACAUGAAGUAGCAAUACGGAUGGUGGCGACCGGCGCACGGGUGAGUAACACGUAUGCAACCUGCCUUCAACAAGGGGAUAACCCGUUGAAAGACGGACUAAUACCCUAUAACACAGGGGUCCCGCAUGGGAAUAUUUGUUAAAGGACAACCGGUUGAAGAUGGGCAUGCGUUCCAUUAGCUAGUUGGCGGGUAAGGCCCACCAAGGCAACGAUGGAUAGGGGAACUGAGAGGUUUAUCCCCCACACUGGUACUGAGACACGGACCAGACUCCUACGGGAGGCAGCAGUGAGGAAUAUUGGUCAAUGGACGCAAGUCUGAACCAGCCACGUCGCGUGAAGGAAGACGGCCCUACGGGUUGUAAACUUCUUUUGCAAGGGAAUAAAGUGGGCCACGUGUGGCCUUUUGCAAGUACCUUGCGAAUAAGGAUCGGCUAACUCCGUGCCAGCAGCCGCGGUAA
rnacentral:rRNA from 1 species